GGCGGCAUAGCUCAGCUGGUUAGAGCAUCGGAAUCAUAAUCCGAGUGUCCGCGGUUCAAGUCCGUGUGCCGCUA
rnacentral:tRNA from 1 species